rnacentral:rRNA from 1 species
GAUGAACGCUGGCGGUAUGCUUAACACAUGCAAGUCGAACGGUCUCUUCGGAGAUAGUGGCGGACGGGUGAGUAACGCGUGAGAAUCUGGCUUUAGGUCGGGGACAACCACUGGAAACGGUGGCUAAUACCGGAUGUGCCGAGAGGUGAAAGAUUAAUUGCCUAAAGAUGAGCUCGCGUCUGAUUAGCUAGUUGGUAGUGUAAGAGACUACCAAGGCGACGAUCAGUAGCUGGUCUGAGAGGAUGAUCAGCCACACUGGGACUGAGACACGGCCCAGACUCCUACGGGAGGCAGCAGUGGGGAAUUUUCCGCAAUGGGCGAAAGCCUGACGGAGCAAUACCGCGUGAGGGAGGAAGGCUCUUGGGUUGUAAACCUCUUUUCUCAGGGAAGAACAAAAUGACGGUACCUGAGGAAUAAGCAUCGGCUAACUCCGUGCCAGCAGCCGCGGUAAUACGGAGGAUGCAAGCGUUAUCCGGAAUGAUUGGGCGUAAAGCGUCCGCAGGUGGCUGUGUAAGUCUGCUGUUAAAGAGUGAGGCUCAACCUCAUAAGAGCAGUGGAAACUACAUAGCUAGAGUACGUUCGGGGCAGAGGGAAUUCCUGGUGUAGCGGUGAAAUGCGUAGAGAUCAGGAAGAACACCGGUGGCGAAAGCGCUCUGCUAGGCCGUAACUG